GUGUCAGCAGCCGCGGUAAUACGGGGGGGGCAAGCGUUGUUCGGAAUUACUGGGCGUAAAGGGUUCGUAGGUGGCCAGCUAAGUCAGACGUGAAAUCCCUCAGCUUAACUGAGGAACUGCGUCUGAUACUGAUUGGCUUGAGUGCAGGAGAGGAACGCGGAAUUCCAGGUGUAGCGGUGAAAUGCGUAGAUAUCUGGAGGAACACCGGUGGCGAAGGCGGCGUUCUGGACUGCAACUGACACUGAGGAACGAAAGCCAGGGGAGCAAACGGGAUUAGAUACCCCGGUAGUCCUGGCCCUAAACGAUGAAUGCUUGGUGUGGCGGGUAUCGAUCCCUGCCGUGCCGAAGCUAACGCAUUAAGUACCCCGCCUGGGGAGUACGGUCGCAAGAUUAAAACUUAAAUGAAUUGACGGGG
rnacentral:rRNA from 1 species